CGUGGCUUCCGGAGCUAACGCGUUAAGUCGACCGCCUGGGGAGUACGGCCGCAAGGUUAAAACUCAAAUGAAUUGACGGGGGCCCGCACAAGCGGUGGAGCAUGUGGUUUAAUUCGAUGCAACGCGAAGAACCUUACCUGGUCUUGACAUCCACAGAACUUUCCAGAGAUGGAUUGGUGCCUUCGGGAACUGUGAGACAGGUGCUGCAUGGCUGUCGUCAGCUCGUGUUGUGAAAUGUUGGGUUAAGUCCCGCAACGAGCGCAACCCUUAUCCUUUGUUGCCAGCGGUCCGGCCGGGAACUCAAAGGAGACUGCCAGUGAUAAACUGGAGGAAGGUGGGGAUGACGUCAAGUCAUCAUGGCCCUUACGACCAGGGCUACACACGUGCUACAAUGGCGCAUACAAAGAGAAGCGACCUCGCGAGAGCAAGCGGACCUCAUAAAGUGCGUCGUAGUCCGGAUUGGAGUCUGCAACUCGACUCCAUGAAGUCGGAAUCGCUAGUAAUCGUGGAUCAGAAUGCCACGGUGAAUACGUUCCCGGGCCUUGUACACACCGCCCGUCACACCAUGGGAGUGGGUUGCAAAAGAAGUAGGUAGCUUAACCUUCGGGAGGGCGCUUACCACUUUGUGAUUCAUGACUGGGGUGAAGUCGUAACAAGGUAACCGUAGGGGAACCUGCGGUUG
rnacentral:rRNA from 1 species